UACGAAGGGGCUAGCGUUGCUCGGAAUCACUGGGCGUAAAGGUGCGUAGGCGGGUCUUUAAGUCAGAGGUGAAAGCCUGGAGCUCAACUCCAGAACUCGCCUUUGAGACUGCAUCGCUUGAAUCCAGGAGAGGUGAGUGGAAUUCCGAGUGUAGAGGUGAAAUUCGUAGAUAUUCGGAAGAACACCAGUGGCGAAGGCGGCUCACUGGACUGGUAUUGACGCUGAGGUGCGAAAGCGUGGGGAGCAAACAG
rnacentral:rRNA from 1 species